CAUAAUAAGUUUUACCUCUAAGUUCACUUUAUUUUGAUGGUCUUGACAUUAUGCUGAAUAUUAGAGGAACGUUUUACUUACACGUCAACAAACUGUAAUUCGAUUAUAAAUAUCUGCUAACACUUUAUUGUGACGAUCCUCAACAGACAUUUAACUGACUUUCCAAUUAAAUGUCAACUUACUCCACCAACACUCACCCCUACCCCUAACAGUCUGAUGUACUAAUACUCAACUAAUACUCAAAUGACAGCUUGUUGACAUGUACGUGGAGAAUUGCUCAAAUCAGACAAUCAAAAUAAAGUGUAACAGGUAGUUUCAUACAAAAAUGCAAAUGUAAACCCAAUGACCAGGCGGUAAAACAACAAUCCAGACACCUUUUGUUUCGAACUUAGCCAUGAGAGCUUAACCUGAGAGACAGGUGAUCUCUCUCCGAGUCUUCCUCCAUGUGAGAACACCCAGAACAGGUAUGUAACACACAGUAACCACGCCAGCUCUCCUCACGCACCGCUCAUUACGUUAUGUACCAUUACGUAUGAGGGCGGAAGGGAACAACUUGUUGAUAGAUUCCUAGAUCUGUUAAAUCUAAAGAAAUCGUGCAUGCUGUCAAUCCUAUUCUAUCGAACAAUCGCACACAACCGGGGUGUAGGCGGGACCUUUAAAAGCACAUGGCAAAAGAGGCUUGGUAAAGGUGUUUUUGACAUAGAAAUGGGUGUGUGUUUGUGUGUAAAAAAAUAGCAAGAGUUUAAAAAUAGUUCGACUGACAGACGCCGCACAUUACAUUUUAGAAUCUGCAUUCUUGUCUGUCGCAUUAGAACGCACAAACAGGUCUGCAUGAGACAGACAGCCUGGGAAUCACAGAAGGUUAAGCUGACGUGUGGCCGUGUGUACAAACAGGUCUGCGUGAGUUUGACAGCGCAUAAUCUUACAUGCUUUCCGCUUGCAUGUGUAGAUGGGUGUUUUUGUUGUUUCACGAGUGCAUGACUGAGGCGUUUUGAGCAUGCGCCCUAAAUAGAUUUGCAUAAGAGUAUACAAAUGUGUAUGUGCAUGUUUGUGUGCAUAUUAAGCCAUGUCUGCAGGCUGAGGUGGAGAACAACUGGCAGCAAGACUGGCACGUCUGGCAGGCCUCCACCUGUUGAAAGAUGAGGAAGCGACCUACACCCAAACAGAGAGAGAGUGAAAACAAACAAAGGGAGAAAACCAUCACGAUUCAGGCUCUAUUAUUUUCCCAUAAUGCUUUGGUGCAUUCCUCCUCCUACUCCUUCCUCAAACAGACAGCAGAGAGAAAGUGUGGAUUAAAAAAAGAAAACAGAAGAUCGAGGAUGAAUAAGAGAAGAAAUGUUGUUGUGGUGGCCCAGGUUUGCUCAGCUGUGUGGCAUUUUAGCCCCACCCAAAAACCAAAGCCUAACAGGACCUCUGAAUCUCUCUCUCUCUCUCUCUCUCUCUCUCUCUCUCUCUCUCUCUCUCUCUCUCUCACACACACACACACACACACAAACA